GAAUUGCAGCACAGCACAAAUUCACGUGUGAAGAAGCAGUGGAUGAUUUGCGCACUCAACAGGAAAUGCUAUCAUCGACGGAAGCAGCCGACGGGUCGUCCGGUUCCGAUGUUACUUGCAUGGACACGGAGCUGACCUUGGGGUUGCCCAGGGACGGUGGUUCGAAGGUGGCAAUCGCCGGGGCGAAGAGGGCGUACGCCGGAACCGUUGGUCUUGGCCUCAGAAGCAGCAUCGGCAAGCGAAGUGGGGAUAUCGAGGUCGAUGCAGCUGAGAGCUGUGCAGCCUCUCAGGUGUCUGGCGCAGGAAAAGUCCCGGGAUCCAAGGCACAAGUUGUGGGGUGGCCACCGGUGAGAUCAUUCAGGAAGAAGACACUGGAGAUCUGCAAAUACGUGAAGGUUGCAGUGGACGGAGCUCCAUAUCUGCGCAAAGUCGACCUUCAGACAUACAACAGCUAUGAUGAGCUCUUGAGGGCAUUAGAGGGUAUGUUCGAUUGCUUCACUGCCAACGGCAAUUAUUUGGAAGAUAGCAAGGUCAUGGAUUCGGCCAAGGGAAUGGAGUAUGUGCCGACGUACGAGGACAACGACGGUGAUUGGAUGCUAGUCGGCGACGUUCCUUGGAAGUAAUGACCAUUGUGAUUUUCGGUGCAUACUUAAGUUUGCAGGGCGUCGCUUGUAUAGAUUCAUUAGGUGCUUCCAGAAUCAUGCGCUUCAGAAUGUUCGCAGAGUCGUGUAAGCGCAUUCGGUUGAUGAAGGGCUCGGAUGCAGCCUGGUUCGCUCCAAGGACUCCAAAAUGCAGGGGCUGAGUGGGUACUGGAAAUGGGAAGAUUCUGGUCCUCUAAUAGUCUUUUAGUUUAGCUACCAGUCUGUAAUAUGUGAAGCCGUACACCCUUCCUUCAUUUAUUGAGUAAAAACAUGAAGUAAAUCAGAGUUCUAAUUUCUUCUAACAA